GCAAGUGGAUAGCUCAGUUGGUUAGAGCGUGGUGCUGAUGAUAACGCCAAGGUUGCUGGUUUGAUCCCCGUAUGGGACCUCUGCA